rnacentral:rRNA from 1 species
CCCUUAGAUGUUCUGGGCCGCACGCGCGCUACACUGAUGCAUUCAACGAGUCUAAAACCUGGUCUGAUAGGGCUGGGUAAUCUUUUGAAAGUGCAUCGUGAUUGGGAUAGAUGAUUGCAAUUCUUCAUCUUCAACGAGGAAUGCCUAGUAAACGCAAGUCAUCAGCUUGCAUUGAUUACGUCCCUGCCCUUUGUACACACCGCCCGUCGCUCCUACCGAUUGAAUGGUCCGGUGAAGUGUUCGGAUCGCGCCGACGUGGGCGGUUCGCCGCCGGCGACGUCGCGAGAAGUCCACUGAACCUUAUCAUUUAGAGGAAGGAGAAGUCGUAACA